rnacentral:rRNA from 1 species
AACGAACGCUGGCGGCGUGCCUAAUACAUGCAAGUCGAACGAGAAAGUGGCUUCGGCCAUUAGUAAAGUGGCAGACGGGUGAGUAAUACAUAGGUAACCUACCUCCGAGAUGGGGACAACCUUCCGAAAGGAGGGCUAAUACCGAAUGAGACCACAGUUACUUCGGUAACUGGGGUCAAAGGUGGCCUCUACUUGUAAGCUAUCGCUUGGAGAUGGGCUUAUGCACCAUUAGCUUGUUGGCGAGGUAACGGCUCACCAAGGCUGUGAUGGUUAGCUG